rnacentral:rRNA from 1 species
CCUACGGGUGGCAGCAGUGAGGAAUAUUGGUCAAUGGACGCAAGCCUGAACCAGCCAAGCCGCGUGCAGGAUGACGGCCCUAUGAGUUGUAAACUGCUUUUGUACGAGGGUAAACCCCGAUACGUGUACCGGGUUGCAUGUAUCCUACGAAUAAGGAUCGGCUAACUCCGUGCCAGCAGCCGCGGUAAUACGGAGGAUCCGAGCGUUAUCCGGAUUUAUUGGGUUUAAAGGGUGCGUAGGCGGUUUGAUAAGUUAGCGGUGAAAUGUCGGGGCUCAACCCCGAAACUGCCUCUAAUACUGUUGGACUAGAGAAUAGUUGCGGUAGGCGGAAUGUAUGGUGUAGCGGUGAAAUGCUUAGAGAUCAUACAGAACACCGAUUGCGAAGGCAGCGUACCAAACUAUAUCUGACGUUGAGGCACGAAAGCGUGGGUAUCAAACAGGAUUAGAUACCCCUGUAGUC